rnacentral:RNase_P_RNA from 1 species
UUCAGUAAGUAGGCAACUGCUGUUUUUGUUUUGAGGCGUUAAGCCAAGAGUAAACAAAAAUAGAGGAAAGUCCGAACGCCCUAUUGCUUCAAUUUUGAGGUAAUAGAAGUGGGAAGUUGCUAACGGCAACCGGCCGGGUUUUCUCGGUUAGGGAAAGUGUCACAGAGACUAUACCGCCAAACCACCUUUUAGGUGGCGGCAAGGGUGAAAAGAGCGGAGGUAAAAGCUCCCAACUCUGAUUGGUGACAAUUAGAGGCGACAAACCCUUCCCGGCGCAAGAUCAAAUUGUCGCUCAAGCGACAGGUAGAUCGCUCCGAACUUGGUAGUAAUGCCAAGUCAAGAUAAAUAGUUGCCACUAAUUGGAUUUUAUCUCAAUUAGUACAGAAUUCGGCUUAUUCUUAUUGAAGAAA